UUUGGUUAAGUUAGAAAGGGCGCACGGUGGAUGCCUUGACACUAGGAGUCGAUGAAGGACGGGACUAACGCCGAUAUGCUUCGGGGAGCUGUAAGUAAGCUUUGAUCCGAAGAUUUCCGAAUGGGGAAACCCACCAUACGUAAUGGUAUGGUAUCCUUAUCUGAAUACAUAGGGUAAGGAAGACAGACCCAGGGAACUGAAACAUCUAAGUACCUGGAGGAAGAGAAAGCAAAUGCGAUUUCCUGAGUAGCGGCGAGCGAAACGGAACAUAGCCCAAACCAAGAGGCUUGCCUCUUGGGGUUGUAGGACAUUCUAUACGGAGUUACAAAGGAACGAGGUAGACGAAGCGACCUGGAAAGGUCCGUCGUAGAGGGUAACAACCCCGUAGUCGAAACUUCGUUCUCUCUUGAAUGUAUCCUGAGUACGGCGGAACACGUGAAAUUCCGUCGGAAUCUGGGAGGACCAUCUCCCAAGGCUAAAUACUCCCUAGUGAUCGAUAGUGAACCAGUACCGUGAGGGAAAGGUGAAAAGCACCCCGGAAGGGGAGUGAAAGAGAUCCUGAAACCGUGUGCCUACAAAUAGUCAGAGCCCGUUAACGGGUGAUGGCGUGCCUUUUGUAGAAUGAACCGGCGAGUUACGAUCCCGUGCGAGGUUAAGCUGAAGAGGCGGAGCCGCAGCGAAAGCGAGUCUGAAUAGGGCGUUUAGUACGUGGUCGUAGACCCGAAACCAGGUGAUCUACCCAUGUCCAGGGUGAAGUUCAGGUAACACUGAAUGGAGGCCCGAACCCACGCACGUUGAAAAGUGCGGGGAUGAGGUGUGGGUAGCGGAGAAAUUCCAAUCGAACCUGGAGAUAGCUGGUUCUCCCCGAAAUAGCUUUAGGGCUAGCCUUAAGUGUAAGAGUCUUGGAGGUAGAGCACUGAUUGGACUAGGGGUCCUCAUCGGAUUACCGAAUUCAGUCAAACUCCGAAUGCCAAUGACUUAUCCUUAGGAGUCAGACUGCGAGUGAUAAGAUCCGUAGUCAAAAGGGAAACAGCCCAGACCGCCAGCUAAGGUCCCAAAGUGUGUAUUAAGUGGAAAAGGAUGUGGAGUUGCUUAGACAACUAGGAUGUUGGCUUAGAAGCAGCCACCAUUUAAAGAGUGCGUAAUAGCUCACUAGUCGAGUGACUCUGCGCCGAAAAUGUACCGGGGCUAAAUACACCACCGAAGCUGCGGAUUGAUACCAAUGGUAUCAGUGGUAGGGGAGCGUUCUAAGGACAGUGAAGUCAGACCGUAAGGACUGGUGGAGUGCUUAGAAGUGAGAAUGCCGGUAUGAGUAGCGAAAGACGGGUGAGAAUCCCGUCCACCGAAUGCCUAAGGUUUCCUGAGGAAGGCUCGUCCGCUCAGGGUUAGUCAGGACCUAAGCCGAGGCCGACAGGCGUAGGCGAUGGACAACAGGUUGAUAUUCCUGUACCACCUCUUUAUCGUUUGAGCAAUGGAGGGACGCAGAAGGAUAGAAGAAGCGUGCGAUUGGUUGUGCACGUCCAAGCAGUUAGGCUGAUAAGUAGGCAAAUCCGCUUAUCGUGAAGGCUGAGCUGUGAUGGGGAAGCUCCUUAUGGAGCGAAGUCUUUGAUUCCCCGCUGCCAAGAAAAGCUUCUAGCGAGAUAAAAGGUGCCUGUACCGCAAACCGACACAGGUAGGCGAGGAGAGAAUCCUAAGGUGUGCGAGAGAACUCUGGUUAAGGAACUCGGCAAAAUGACCCCGUAACUUCGGGAGAAGGGGUGCUUUCUUAACGGAAAGCCGCAGUGAAUAGGCCCAAGCGACUGUUUAGCAAAAACACAGCUCUCUGCGAAGCCGUAAGGCGAAGUAUAGGGGGUGACACCUGCCCGGUGCUGGAAGGUUAAGGAGAGGGGUUAGCGUAAGCGAAGCUCUGAACUGAAGCCCCAGUAAACGGCGGCCGUAACUAUAACGGUCCUAAGGUAGCGAAAUUCCUUGUCGGGUAAGUUCCGACCCGCACGAAAGGUGUAACGAUUUGGGCACUGUCUCAACCAGAGACUCGGUGAAAUUAUAGUACCUGUGAAGAUGCAGGUUACCCGCGACAGGACGGAAAGACCCCGUGGAGCUUUACUGUAGCCUGAUAUUGAAUUUUGGUACAGUUUGUACAGGAUAGGCGGGAGCCAUUGAAACCGGAGCGCUAGCUUCGGUGGAGGCGCUGGUGGGAUACCGCCCUGACUGUAUUGAAAUUCUAACCUACGGGUC
rnacentral:rRNA from 1 species